GACGAACGCUGGCGGCGUGCUUAACACAUGCAAGUCGAACGAAGUGGCGAACGGGUGAGUAAUACGUGGGUAACCUGCCCUCCUUUUUGGGAUAAGCCUUGGAAACGGGGUCUAAUACCGAAUAAAGGGGGAUGGGCUCGCGGCCUAUCAGCUUGUUGGUGGGGUGAUGGCCUACCAAGGCGAUGAUCAGUAGCCGGUCUGAGAGGAUGAACGGCCACAUUGGGACUGGGACACGGGCAAGACUCCGACGGGAGGCAGCAGUGGGGAAUCUUCCGCAAUGGACGAAAGUCUGACGAAGCAACGCCGCGUGAGUGAUGACGGCCUUCGGGUUGUAAAGCUCUGUUAAGCGGGACGCGGUACCGGAAUAGAAAGCCACGGCUAACUACGUGCCAGCAGCCGCGGUAAUAC
rnacentral:rRNA from 1 species